ACAAUUUCGGUUAUGUGUCUUAUCGAAACUCGCACGUCCCCGUAUAUCCCUAGGUACAAAAGCACUCGCCAUUAUUGUGCCUUGACGGAAUGUAGAUAAGUUAAUUGACCGCCAACUAAUCUAGUUAAGAAUUUACAAGAAGCGCUUGAAUAACUUGCAUCGUUUGGUUCCAAUGAUUACAAACCAGGAUUUUAUUGUUUGGCUGCCGUAUUCACAUUGUAGUAUAUAUACAGUGGUAGUCUACAUCAUAGGGAUGAUACAUAUAUAUAUGGGUACAUGGUAACCAUAUGCAUCAACCAUGCAAUAUAUAAGCUUAGCGUUUAUAGCGCAGGUCGAAGUUGUAAUUUGUUGCAAUAUAAAGACAACUAUAUGGAAAAUGGUUCGUCGGUUUUUUCCGAUCUGGGGAUUUUCGAAGCUACUUCCACUCAAACUAAUACCCGGAAAAGAUUUGGUUCUCAAAAUAGAAAUUAAGAAUUUACGUUCGGACAAAGCUACAAAUAAAUACUGGUGUUUCAGUUCGAUUAUAUUUCUACGUUUUUAAGCCACUACGAUUUAUGUGUUUU